UACGGGGGGGGCAAGCGUUGUUCGGAAUUACUGGGCGUAAAGGGCUCGUAGGUGGCCAACUAAGUCAGACGUGAAAUCCCCAGGCUCAACUUGGGAACUGCGUCUGAUACUGGAUGGCUUGAAUUCGGGAGAGGGAUGCAGAAUUCCAGGUGUAGCGGUGAAAUGCGUAGAUAUCUGGAGGAAUACCGGUGGCGAAAGCGGCAUACUGGGUAUUUUCUGACGCUCAUGCACGAAAGCUAGGGUAGCGAACGGG
rnacentral:rRNA from 1 species